rnacentral:rRNA from 1 species
CCUACGGGUGGCAGCAGUGGGGAAUAUUGCACAAUGGGCGAAAGCCUGAUGCAGCAACGCCGCGUGAGCGAUGACGGCCUUCGGGUCGUAAAGCUCUGUCCUCAAGGAAGAUAAUGACGGUACUUGAGGAGGAAGCCCCGGCUAACUACGUGCCAGCAGCCGCGGUAAUACGUAGGGGGCUAGCGUUAUCCGGAAUUACUGGGCGUAAAGGGUGCGUAGGUGGUUUCUCAAGUCAAGGGUGAAAUCCCCGCGCUCAACGUGGGAACUGCCUUUGAAACUGGCAAACUGGAGUGUGUGGGAGGAUAGUGGAAUUCGAGGUGUAGGAGUGAAAUCCGUAGAUAUCUGGAGGAACAUCAGUGGCGAAGGCGACUAUCUGGCACAUAACUGACGCUGAGGAGCGAAAGCGUGGGUAGCAAACAGGAUUAGAUACCCUUGUAGUC